rnacentral:rRNA from 1 species
GAUGAACGCUGGCGGCGUGCCUAAUACAUGCAAGUCGAGUGAACAGACGAGGAGCUUGCUCCUCUGACGUUAGCGGCGGACGGGUGAGUAACACGUGGAUAACCUACCUAUAAGACUGGGAUAACUUCGGGAAACCGGAGCUAAUACCGGAUAAUAUAUUGAACCGCAUGGUUCAAUAGUGAAAGACGGUUUUGCUGUCACUUAUAGAUGGAUCCGCGCCGCAUUAGCUAGUUGGUAAGGUAACGGCUUACCAAGGCAACGAUGCGUAGCCGACCUGAGAGGGUGAUCGGCCACACUGGAACUGUGACACGGUCCAGACUCCUACGGGAGGCAGCAGUAGGGAAUCUUCCGCAAUGGGCGAAAGCCUGACGGAGCAACGCCGCGUGAGUGAUGAAGGUCUUCGGAUCGUAAAACUCUGUUAUUAGGGAAGAACAAAUGUGUAAGUAACUAUGCACGUCUUGACGGUACCUAAUCAGAAAGCCACGGCUAACUACGUG